rnacentral:rRNA from 1 species
GGGUUGUGAGGUUAAGCGACUAAGCGUACACGGUGGAUGCCCUGGCAGUCAGAGGCGAUGAAGGACGUGCUAAUCUGCGAAAAGCGCCGGCGAGGUGAUAUGAACCUUUGACCCGGCGAUGUCCGAAUGGGGAAACCCAGUGCAAUUCGUUGCACUAUCGUUAACUGAAUACAUAGGUUAACGAGGCGAACCGGGGGAACUGAAACAUCUAAGUACCCCGAGGAAAAGAAAUCAACCGAGAUUCCCCCAGUAGCGGCGAGCGAACGGGGAGCAGCCCGGAGUCUGAAUCAGCGUGUGUGUUAGUGGAACGGUCUGGAAAGUCCGACGGUACAGGGUGAUAGUCCCGUACACGAAAAUGCACAUGCUGUGAACUCGAAGAGUAGGGCGGGACACGUGGUAUCCUGUCUGAAUAUGGGGGGA